GAAGGGGGCGAGCGUUGUUCGGAUUUACUGGGCGUAAAGGGCGCGCAGGCGGCUCAUUUUGUCAGGCGUGAAAGCCCCGGGCUUAACCUGGGAACUGCGUUUGAGACGGAUGGGCUAGAGUUCGGGAGAGGAGAGCGGAAUUCCCAGUGUAGAGGUGAAAUUCGUAGAUAUUGGGAAGAACACCGGUGGCGAAGGCGGCUCUCUGGACCGAGACUGACGCUGAGGCGCGAAAGCGUGGGGAGCAAACAGGAUUAGAUACCCUGGUAGUCCACGCUGUAAACGAUGUGUGCUAGACGUUGGGGAGCCUAGCCUCUUCGGUGUCGCAGCUAACGCGGUAAGCACACCGCCUGGGGAGUACGGCCGCAAGGUUA
rnacentral:rRNA from 1 species